rnacentral:lncRNA from 1 species
CCUUUGCAGUGGGGCAGGUGCAACUCAAGGAAAAUGUGUGGAAGAAUGCUAUCAUUCACUUGAGAAAACAAGUGCCUGGGCAGAGAAAAAUGUUUAGACAAAUAGGAGCCAGAGCACAGAGCUGAUAAUGAGUUAUGCGAUUUGAUGGAUAUGGCUGUAAACAAUAAUUAAAAUAGUAGUACCUCCUAAAUGCAGAAAAUAAAUAAGUUAAAAGACAUUAUAGGAGGCUGAGGUCUGCUGGAUUUCAUUCGCUUCCUGAUAGACCCAUGAGAUUUUUGUUAAAUUUUCAGCCUUUCUGACAUUACUUAUUUUAUAUUAAGGCAUGAUUCUUAAAGACAAAAGGGGAAGUUCUAGAUAUGUGAGAACAAUUUACAUAGUCAAAAAGAGAAGAUAACAUCUUUGAACGUAACUCAGAUGCUCUUUAUUUACAUCUUAAUUUGUGCCAGCUUUAUUGCUAGAAAAGAGAGACAAAAAGAAAAAUAAUGAUAUAGCACAUAAUAUAAUGGGUCAGUCAAACUGGAAAAACAUAGUUCAUAAGAAAAAACACUAUUAUAGGGCACAGGAUUAUUUGAAAUAGAGAAAAUGGGGGUCAGCCUGGUGGCACAGUGGUUAAGUGUACGUUCUGCUUAGGCAGCCUGGGGUUCGCCUGUUCAGAUCCUGAGUGCGGACCUGGCACCACUAGGCAAGCCAUGCUGUGGUAGGCGUCCCACAUAUAAAGUAGAGGAAGAUGGGUACGGAUGUUAGCUCAGUGCUAAUCUUCCUCAAAAUAAAUAAAUAAAAAUAUGAAAUACAGAAAAUGUUUCGCUGUAUUGCAAUUCAAACACUUCUAGUCUGUUGAUGGAUCUGCAGUCUUUCUGAAUAAAGUACUAUCAGGAGUAUGAAUUGCAUGUAAGAUGUGCACUAUGAAGUAUAGGGAUGGAGGCAUCCUAAGCAGAGGAUAUAGAAAAAUAAAGCCACAAAGAUGAGAGAUUUCAGAGAAUGUUUGGAGAGUGUAGAGGGUUCCAGUGUAGUUGGAGGAAAACAUCCAAGCAAAGUGGAACAUAUGAAGACAGGAAGGAAAAGAGGAAAAUGACCUGACAUGAAUUUCCUAUACACCACACACGGUGCUAAAACUUCCCGUGUGUUAGCCAAAGUAAUAUUACAUCUUUAUGAAGGGUAAUAUUACCCUAUUUCAUAGAUAUUUUAAAAAUGGAGACUUGUAUAAUUAAAGCAAACUGUCAAGAAACAGAGAUAAAAACUUACAAUCAGUAGUCACCCAUUUCUUCCUGACCCCAAAGCCUAUCAUUAUGAUACCAUACUUUCUUCCAGUGCAGUGACUUCUAGGACUAGUAACUUAGCCUCAGACCAACUUUGAAAAUUUCUGAUAAACAAAUGAAAAGGUUGAUUUUACUCUAAGGUAGAUAGGGUUCCAUACCAAUUUUUGGAGAGGGCAGUGA